rnacentral:lncRNA from 1 species
UAUAAAUUGCGUCGCGGUAAUCAACGGUUCAGGCAAGUUUGUAUUUACUUAACUCUACUAAGAGUGUUUUAUUCAAGCUUAUGGUUAAAUCAUUGCUGAUUGCCAUGAAAAUUGUACUCUGUACAUCUUGCAUGUAUAAGUCAGGUAUGAAAGGCUGAUCACCUUCAUUACCAGUUGGUUCAGAAAUGUUUGUUCAUGUUUAAAACUUGUUCAGUCAAAAGUUUGUUCCUGCUAGUUCUCAAUUAUAUUGAUGAAUUAUAGCCAGCUCAUUAUUCAUACUCUUCAAUCAUGAUAUAUCAUGAUAAAACAUUGCAGAUAAGGCGAAUGCGUUCGGAUAC